rnacentral:tRNA from 1 species
GCCUAGUUAGCUUAGUUGGUAGUGCGUCUGCCUUGUAAGCGCUAGGCCGCGGGUUCGAUUCCCGCCGGGGUG